rnacentral:tRNA from 1 species
ACCUGGGUGGCUCAGUCGGUUAAGCGUCUGACUUUGGCUCAGGUCAUGAUCUCACAGUUCGUGGGUUCGAGCCCCAUGUCAGGCU